AAAUGCGAUAAGUAGUGUGAAUUGCAGAAUUUAGCGAAUCAUCGAAUCUUUGAACGCACAUUGCGCCCCUUGGUAUUCCAUGGGGCAUGCCUGUUCGAGCGUCAUUUCAACCCUCAAGCACUGCUUGGUGUUGGGCGUUUGUCCCGCCUACGCGCGUGGACUCGCCUCAAAGUCAUUGGCGGCUGUUCCCCUUCGGCUCGUAAGCGCAGCACAGUCGGCGCCCGGAGCUCUGGUGGGAUGGCGUCCAGCAAGCUAUAUUUUCAGGCUUGACCUCGGAUCAGGUAUGGAUACCUGCUGAACUUAAGC
rnacentral:misc_RNA from 1 species